rnacentral:lncRNA from 1 species
CUAAGAGCUAAAUGUUAUUAACUUUAUACUUAAAACAUCUGACAAAAUUGAAGGCUGUUUUCUAUUUAUUUGAUUAGUUGGUUUAACUGAAUAAGAAAUUACAAGACCCUGAUGAGAUAGAACGUGGAAAGGUGUUUUACUUUUCCUUUAUUCCCUUUUAAAUACGAUGGCUGGAAUAACCCAGGUGUCACCUGAAAUGUUGAUGACUUUGCCUGAAAGUGGAAUUCUCUAACCAUCUGCAGCUGGUGCAGUUCAGUUGACUGUGGGAGUGGAUGAUCUAUAGGUUUACCUGACACUUGUAACCAAGCUCUGUCGGCACAAUAGAGUGACCAUUUAAACAAGGGCUAGCAUUCUUUCCAACUUUUUACAUUUUCACUGAAAGGAGAUAUUAAAGACUAAGAGUGUUGAACUUUACCUGAGUUUUGUGCUCCUAGAAAACAGCAAUGAUUAAGAAAUCCUUGUAUCCUUUUGUAUUUUAGGAAAUUGCUUAUUACAAAGAACCAUCCUUUCUCAUGUGAUUUAUGUAAGACUCCCAGAUGACCUCCUUGUUUUUCUAUGACAAAGCCAGAUGCAGAUCCUCCAAAUGUUCAUUAUUUGUCUUCUAAAUGAUUAGCUAAAGUUUUUACCCCCACUCACCAAUCUGGAAAAAAUGCCUGCUAAUUUGACUUGCCAUAAUUCUCUACAGGCUUCUCUGCUUUCUUAGGCUCCUGAAUUGGGCCCAUCCUGGAGCUUAAUAAGCAAGCACUGAGAGCUUAUUUAUGCAUUAGAACAUGGAAAAACUCCAUUUAAAACCCCUUCUCAAGAUUCAGCUGGUUGUCAGAAUGACACGUCUGCUCAGCUAUCCACUCAUGCCCACCUGCUUAUCCAGCUUCCCAUACUCAUGCACCAAGGCAUCAGGGUAGAUAAAGAGGCUGGGAAGUUCAAGGGCAUAGGCCUGACUUCUGGCAAGAGCUUCUGUGCUGCAUUAUCACAUGAUGGAGAAUCUCAAAGAUGAAGCGGACAGGUGUGAAGACAUCACAUGGCAAGACAGGAUGCAAGAGAGUAAAACCGAAGAAGUGAGACACUUUUUAAUAACCUACUUUCUCAAGAACUAAUCCAUUCCCAUGGGUGAGCAAGAACUCACUCACCCCAGCAGGAGGGUGUUAAUGUACUCAUAAGGGAUCCCUCCAUGACCUAAAAAACUCCGACUAGGCUCCACCUCCCAAUACAACCACGCUUGGGGAUGAAAUUUCAACAUGAGUUUCAGGGGAAACAAACAAAUCAUAUCCAAACCAUAGCAGUAUCCAUUUAUAUCUGAUUUCCUUAAUAAAAUGACAUGGAGCACCCUCCAAACAGCAUAAAUAUGCAUACCCUAGUUAUGUGCAUAUUUUCAAUUCACUGAACAACCUUCAGUUUCAACAAAGAAUGCAUUGUUUAUUUUUCUCUGUACAAAAAGCUUGCUGUGAGUCUGUCUCCCCCAGGAGAAAAAUAAAUAAAUUUCAUGACUUUGUAAUUGUCAUCUUAAAAACUUUCUUGCCUUCAUU